GAUGAACGCUGGCGGCGUGCUUAACACAUGCGAGUCGAGCGAGAAGUUUUGAAAAGAUUCUUCGGAUGAAAUUUAAAAUGGAAAGCGGCGGACGGGUGAGUAACGCGUAGGCAACCUGCCCCAUACAAAGGGAUAGCAUUUGGAAACGAAUAUUAAUACCUUAUGAAACUUAACUAGUGCAUGCUAGGUAGGUCAAAGAUUUAUCGGUAUGGGAUGGGCCUGCGUCUGAUUAGCUAGUUGGUGAGGUAACGGCUCACCAAGGCGACGAUCAGUAGCCGACCUGAGAGGGUGAACGGCCACAUUGGAACUGAGACACGGUCCAAACUCCUACGGGAGGCAGCAGUGGGGAAUAUUGCACAAUGGGGGAAACCCUGAUGCAGCAACGCCGCGUGAACGAGGAAGGCCUUUGGGUCGUAAAGUUCUGUUCUAGGUGAUGAAAACUGACAGUAACCUAGGAGAAAGCCCCGGCUAACUCCGUG
rnacentral:rRNA from 1 species